rnacentral:rRNA from 1 species
UACGUAGGGUGCAAGCGUUUAAUCGGAAUUACUGGGCGUAAAGCGUGCGCAGGCGGUUUUGUAAGUCUGAUGUGAAAUCCCCGGGCUCAACCUGGGAAUUGCAUUGGAGACUGCAAGGCUAGAAUCUGGCAGAGGGGGGUAGAAUUCCACGUGUAGCAGUGAAAUGCGUAGAGAUGUGGAGGAACACCGAUGGCGAAGGCAGCCCCCUGGGUCAAGAUUGACGCUCAUGCACGAAAGCGUGGGGAGCAAACGAGG